GAACUGCUGAAGAGUUCCACGAUAAGACGAAACAGCCGUCCUGUGC
rnacentral:hammerhead_ribozyme from 1 species